rnacentral:rRNA from 1 species
AGUGAACGCUGGCGGUAGGCCUAACACAUGCAAGUCGAACGGCAGCACAGUAAGAGCUUGCUCUUACGGGUGGCGAGUGGCGGACGGGUGAGGAAUACAUCGGAAUCUACUUUUUCGUGGGGGAUAACGUAGGGAAACUUACGCUAAUACCGCAUACGACCUACGGGUGAAAGCAGGGGAUCUUCGGACCUUGCGCGAUUGAAUGAGCCGAUGUCGGAUUAGCUAGUUGGCGGGGUAAAGGCCCACCAAGGCGACGAUCCGUAGCUGGUCUGAGAGGAUGAGCAGCCACACUGGAACUGAGACACGGUCCAGACUCCUACGGGAGGCAGCAGUGGGGAAUAUUGGACAAUGGGCGCAAGCCUGAUCCAGCCAUACCGCGUGGGUGAAGAAGGCCUUCGGGUUGUAAAGCCCUUUUGUUGGGAAAGAAAAGCAGCAGGUUAAUACCCCGCUGUUCGGACGGUACCCAAAGAAUAAGCACCGGCUAACUUCGU